rnacentral:rRNA from 1 species
AAAGGUAUAAUCUGCCCCCUGAGUAUUUAAAUGGCCGCGGUAUUUUGACCGUGCAAAGGUAGCAUAAUCAAUAGCCUUUUAAUUGGAGGCUGGAAUGAAAGAUUGAAUGAGGUGAGCUCUGUCUCAGAGUGAAUUAUGGAAUUUGAUUUUUUUGUAAAAAAGCAAAAAUAAAUUAAAAAGACGAGAAGACCCUAUAGAUCUUUAUAUAGAAUUUAAAUCAAUAUAUUUAAAAAGAGAAAGAAAAUGAUUUGAGUAAAUAUUAAAUUGGGGUGAUUAAAAAAACAGAAUGAACUUUUUGAAAUUAAACAGAGAUGGCUGGGUAAAAGAUCCGGAGAGACCGAAAAUCAGAUUAAGAUACCUUAGGGAUAACAGCGUAAUCUUCUUUGAGAGUUCAUAUUGACAAGAGGGGUUGCGACCUCGAUGUUGGAUUAAGGGGAAAGCUUGGUGCAGCAGUCAAGUAUUUUAGUCUGUUCGACUA